UACGGGANGCAGCAGUGAGGAAUAUUGUGUCAAUGGGCGACCCNUUNAACCAGCCAAGCUAGCGUGCAGGAUGACUGCCCUAUGNGUUUGUAAACUGCUUUUAUGCGGGGAUAAAGUGACGUACGCGUACGUUUUUGCAGGUACCGCAUGAAUAAGGACCGGCUAAUUCCGUGCCAGCAGCCGCGGUAAU
rnacentral:rRNA from 1 species